rnacentral:rRNA from 1 species
GACGAACGCUGGCGGCGUGCCUAAUACAUGCAAGUUGAGCGCUUAAGGUUGGUACUUGUCCCAACUGGAUGAGCAGCGAACGGGUGAGUAACGCGUGGGGAAUCUGCCUUUGAGCGGGGGACAACAUUUGGAAACGAAUGCUAAUACCGCAUAAAAUCUUUAAACACAAGUUUUAAGUUUGAAAGAUGCAAUUGCAUCACUCAAAGAUGAUCCCGCGUUGUAUUAGCUAGUUGGUGAGGUAAAGGCUCACCAAGGCGAUGAUACAUAGCCGACCUGAGAGGGUGAUCGGCCACAUUGGGACUGAGACACGGACCAAACUCCUACGGGAGGCAGCAGUAGGGAAACUUCGGCAAUGGACGAAAGUCUGACCGAGCAACGCCGCGGGAGUGAAGAAGGUUUUCGGAUCGGAAAACUCUGUUGGUAGAGAAGAACGUUGGUGAGAGUGGAAAGCUCAUCAAGUGACGGUAACUACCCAGAAAGGGACGGCUAACUACGUG